UGUGUUCCUGUUAGAGAUAGAAUACAUCAUCCGAAUAUUUUUUUUUGCCGGUGUUUGUGGGAUGAUAAUUUCUGCCCUCCCUCAUUUGGCCAUCUACCACACAGUGGAUUAAAAAGUGAGUGAUAGUGGUAAAAUUAAAUUCAAAUAUCCGAAAAAGAAACAGUUGGACCAGCAAAGAAAGAAAAAGUGUACUAAGAUAGUGAAAACUAAAGUGAAUGUCAAUUGGUGCCAACAAUUUUGGAAUAAAAGAACAUAGCAGAUAACAAGUAAAGUUUGAUUCCCGGCGGCCCGAAUUAAAUUAUGGAGAGCGGGGCCGCCGCCCAAAAAAAAAAAAAAAAACAAAAUUUUUGAAAUUUAAUAAAAUUCAAAAACAGAAAAAAUUUGAAAUUAAAUAAAAUUCAAAAAAAAAUUUUAGAAUACAAAGUUGAAAUUAAAUAAAAUUUAAAAACUGAAAAAAAAACCAAUGAAGAAAAAUUUGAAAUUAAAGGAAAUUUAAAAAAAAAAAAAACUUGAAAGAAAAGGAAAUUUAUACGGGAACCAAAUCGAGAAGAAAACAAAACAAUCAAUUUAUAAAUUAUGGAAAAGAAAAAGGAACUAUAAAGAAAGUAAAUUUGGCCCACAACCUAGACGUACAUCUCCAUAUCAUAUAUUUCUAUGUACCUAACCGGUGGAUCUUUUUGUGUUUGUGAUUGUCCUAUAUUUAAGUUUUUUUCGAAAUUUAACGAAUUAAUUCUUUAAGUAAUUCAUCGGCGUGGAAGUUAAUUUUUUUUGUUUAAUUCCAUAAUCUUUUUUGUAUUUUUUUUAUUGUGAGGUGCGAAAAAAAACGGUUGGUGUAAGUUUCGUGUUCGGUCCCGUAAGUUUUUGUUGUAUACUGUCCUAAAAGAUACCUCCACAGAGCUCUUUAGGGGUAGGGAAUUAGG